UUCGCAAUGCCCGAAAGGGUGACGAAGCGACGCCGCGUGUGGGAAGAAGGCCUUCGGGUUGUAAACCACUGUCGGGAGUUAGGAAAUGUAAGGGUGCUAAUAGUAUCCUCACUUGACUAAGGCUCCGGAGGAAGCCACGGCUAACUCUGUGCCAGCAGCCGCGGUAAUACAGAGGCGGCAAGCGUUGUUCGGAAUUAUUGGGCGUAAAGAGCACGUAGGCGGCCUUGUAAGUCAGUUGUGAAAGCCUUCUGCUUAACGGAAGAACAGCAGCUGAUACUGCAAGGCUAGAGUGCGGAAGGGGAGAGUGGAACUUCUGGUGGAGCGGUGAAAUGCGUAGAUAUCAGAAGGAACACCGGCGGCGAAGGCGACUCUCUGGUCCGUAACUGACGCUGAGCGUGCGAAAGCUAGGGGAGCAAACGGGAUUAGAUACCCCGGUAGUCCUAGCCGUAAACGAUGGGCACUAAGUAGAGGGGUUUUA
rnacentral:rRNA from 1 species